GACGAACGCUGGCGGCGUGCUUAACACAUGCAAGUCGAACGGAAAGGCCUGCUUUCCCUUGUGGAUUGCGGGUACUCGAGUGGCGAACGGGUGAGUAACACGUGAGUGAUCUGCCCCCAACUUGGGUAUAAGCCUGGGAAACUGGGUCUAAUUCCCGAUAGGACUGCAGGGUGGUGCCUGUGGUGGAAAACGAUUUUCUAGUGGUUGGGGAUGAGCUCGCGGCCUAUCAGCUUGUUGGUGGGGUAAUGGCCUACCAAGGCGGCGACGGGUAGCCGGCCUGGGAGGGUGAACGGCCAAUUGGGAACUGAGAAAGGCCCCGAACCCCGGCGGGAGGGAGGAGGGGGGAAUAUUGCACAAGGGGCGGAACCAUGAUGGAGGCGCGCGGGGGGGGGGGUGACGGCUUGGGGGGUAAAACCUCUUUUGAGCCGGGGGAGAAACCCCGGGUUGGGCGGGUGGGACGGGAGGUGGAGAAAGAACCCCCGCUAAAUUAGUG
rnacentral:rRNA from 1 species